rnacentral:rRNA from 1 species
UACAGAGGGUGCAAACGUUGCUCGGAAUCACUGGGCGUAAAGGGCGUGUAGGCGGGAAGGUAAGUCGGGCGUGAAAUCCCUGAGCUCAACUCAGGAACUGCACUCGAAACUACUUUUCUUGAGUGCCGGAGAGGAAAGCGGAAUACCUGGUGUAGAGGUGAAAUUCGUAGAUAUCAGGUGGAACACCAGUGGCGAAGGCGGCUUUCUGGACGGUAACUGACGCUGAGACGCGAAAGCGUGGGGAGCAAACAGG